GCCGGAAUCUCGCGAGAGCUCCCGGGGGCCGUUGGGUAGCGUCUUCGCUGUUGCCCUUAGGGACGGCUGUGGGCCUGCUGGGGGUGGGGGCCCGAAGCGCCAGAGAUGGCUGCUCAGCGAGGGAUGCCCAGCUCCGCCGUGAGGGUCCUGGAAGAGGCGUUGGGCAUGGGUUUGACGGCAGCCGGGGACGCGAGGGACACGGCGGACGCGGUGGCGGCUGAGGGCGCCUACUACCUGGAACAGGUCACCAUAACUGAAGCAUCUGAAGAUGACUAUGAAUAUGAAGAGAUACCAGAUGACAAUUUUAGCAUCCCAGAAGGUGAAGAAGAUCUGGCAAAAGCAAUUCAGAUGGCCCAAGAACAGGCUACAGAUACUGAAAUUUUGGUAUGAGUUAAUACAGAAAGGAGUGACUGAACUUAGAACUGUUGGGAAUGUUCCAGAUGUCUACACCCAGAUUAUGCUUUUGGAAAAUGAGAACAAAAAUUUAAAGAAAGAUUUGAAGCACUACAAACAAGCAGCUGACAAAGCUAGAGAAGAUUUGCUGAAAAUUCAGAAAGAACGUGAUUUUCAUCGAAUGCAUCAUAAGCGAAUAGUCCAGGAAAAAAACAAAUUAAUUAAUGACCUCAAAGGGUUGAAGUUACAUUAUGCAUCUUAUGAACCGACUAUAAGGGUGUUACAUGAGAAACACCACACUUUACUGAAGGAGAAAAUGCUGACCUCCUUGGAAAGAGACAAAGUAGUUGGGCAGAUUUCUGGACUUCAAGAAACAUUGAAGAAACUGCAAAGAGGACAUAGUUACCAUGGUCCUCAAAUUAAAGUUGAUCAUAGUCGUGAAAAAGAAAAUGCACCAGAAGGUCCUACUCAGAAAGGUCUUCGUGAAGCCAGGGAACAAAACAAAUGUAAAACAAAGAUGAAAGGCAAUACAAAGGAUUCAGAAUUUCCCAUAGAUAUGCAACCAAAUCCAAACCUGAAUGUUUCUAAAGAAAGUCUUUCUCCAGCAAAAUUUGACUACAAGCUGAAAAACAUUUUUAGACUCCAUGAACUUCCAGUGAGCUGUGUCUCCAUGCAACCCCACAAAGACAUCCUAGUCUCCUGUGGCGAGGACCGACUCUGGAAGGUGUUGGGCCUUCCAAAAUGCAAUGUGCUUCUCACGGGAUUUGGCCACACUGACUGGCUUUCAGACUGCUGCUUCCAUCCCAGUGGCGACAAAUUGGCUACUUCAAGUGGUGACACUACAGUUAAAUUAUGGGAUCUAUGUAAAGGCGAUUGCAUUUUGACCUUUGAAGGACACAGCCGCGCAGUGUGGUCCUGCACAUGGCACUCCUGCGGCAAUUUUGUGGCUUCCUCCUCACUGGAUAAAACUAGCAAAAUUUGGGAUGUUAAUAGUGAAAGAUGCAGAUGUACUUUGUAUGGACAUACAGAUUCUGUGAACAGCAUUGAGUUUUUUCCUUUCUCCAAUACUCUUCUCACAAGCUCUGCAGACAAGACCCUGUCUAUAUGGGAUGCAAGAACAGGUAUAUGUGAGCAGUCACUUUAUGGUCACAUGCAUUCUAUCAAUGAUGCCAUUUUUGAUCCCAGGGGUCACAUGAUAGCAUCCUGUGAUGCCUGUGGGGUUACAAAGCUGUGGGACUUUCGGAAGCUGUUACCAAUUGUGUCCAUCGAUAUAGGUCCAAGUCCUGGCAAUGAGGUGAAUUUUGAUUCAUCAGGUCGAGUUUUAGCUCAGGCAAGUGGCAAUGGUGUUAUCCAUUUGCUAGAUCUUAAAUCUGGGGAGAUUCACAAAUUGAUGGGCCACGAAAACGAGGCACACACGGUUGUGUUUUCUCACGACGGGGAGAUUCUCUUUUCUGGAGGCUCUGACGGCACAGUUCGAACGUGGUCUUGACCGUCAGCACAUCCCGCUGCAGAGGGCAUUCCCUUUAAGGCUUGAAAAUGCCUCCUGUAGUCCCAAACCAGCAAAGAACUGGUUAAAUGUGCCAGCAGGUAACAUUUACAGUCUGCUUUAAAACAUGCUUUGGACAUAUAUUUUAGUGCUCAUACUGUUACUAAUAAAAAAAUAACUUUAUGCUCA
rnacentral:lncRNA from 1 species